AUGCAAACACGAAGGUGAAAAGGGAAUCAGGUGCAAAACCUGAACUGUUUCCGCAGCUGUAAGUUCCCCUCAGUUCUUUAGCACCCCUCAUUGUCACUGUUCUUCGGAAUGGGAAGACGACUAAAGGACGGAACAAGUCAGAAGACCUGCCAAAUCUUAUU
rnacentral:ncRNA from 1 species